AACUGCUGACAGUGAAGAGCCAGGCAGUCUGACCCAUGAUAGGAGGGAGCCAAGUGAAGAGCCAGCCAGUCUGACCCAUGAUAGGAGGGAGCCAAGUGAAGAGCCAGCCAGUCUGACCAUGAGUCCAUGUCAACUGCUGCCAGUGAAGGGCCAGCCAGUCUGACCCAUGAUGAAAUGAGGCAGCCAAAUCCUCAAGGGACAGGGACAAGAAAAGGAAUGAAACGAAAGUGGGCCAGCGAAGAGAGAACAUAUGUUUCAUGAACUUUUUUAGAGAUGAAUUAAGAGAAAAAAUAAUGCCAUCUGGCUCAAAAAUAAUGGGGUCCCUAAAAAUACUUACCGGAAGAACAGUGGCCCAGAUAAGGGCAAGGGUCCAUAACAUUAUUAUGAAAAAACAAAAAUGGAAAAAGAAUUGUUGAACUGUGGAAUAUGUUUAUGCCCCUGGUAGGGUGGCAUAUAGCAGUUGAACUGUCCGUCAGUCAGUCAGUCUGUCCAUCUGGCCGAAAACUUAUAUGGCCAUAACUUUUUCAAUAUUGAACAUAGCAACUUGAUAUUUAUACCCCUAUUACAAUUGGUAAUGGGGGCUAUAUAGGAGUCACGUUUGUCGGUCUGUCCCGAUAUUUCAUCCGAUCUUCACCAAACUUGGUCAGUAGUUGUAUGUAGAUAAUGUCUAGGUCAGUUUGAAUAUGGGUCAUGCCAGGUCAAAAACUAGGUCAUGGGGUCACUUAGUAUGUUUUAAACUGUAAGUUUGUACGGACCAUAGCUAUGUCAUUUAUUGUUACAUUUUUAAAUGACUCGGUACAUUUGUUCACCAUCAUGGAACGGUGUGUCGCGUUAAAAAAAAUUACGUCAAUAUCUCAAAGGUCAAGGUCACACUUGGGAGUUCAAAGGUCAAAUGCUUGUCCGGGCCAUAGCUUUGUUUUUUAUUGUGAGAUUUUAAAAUCAUUUGGCACAUUUGUUCACCAUCAUUGAACAGUGUGUCGGGCGAAAGAAUUACGUCGAUAUUUCCAAGAACAAGGGCACAAUUUGAGUUUAAAGGUAAAAAAUGGCCAUAAUUGAGCUUGUCUGGGCAAUAACUAUGUUGUUUAUUGUGCGAUUUUAAAAUCGUUGGCUCUUUUGUUCACCAUCAUUUGACGGUGUGUCGCGCGAAAGAAUUAUGUCGAUAUCUCCAAGGUCAAGUUCGUAGUUUUAGUUCAAAGGUCAAAAAUGGCAAUAAAUUAUCUUGUCUGGGCCAUAAAUAUGUCAUUCAUUGUAAGAUUUUAAAAUGACUGUACAUCAAUUUUGUUCAAAGUCAUUGGAAGGCUUGUCAUGUGAAAGAAUUCAAGAGUUCAAAGGUCAAAAUGGCUAUAAAUGAUAAUGGCAUAAUGAUUCUUAAAAAAUCGCCAUAAAUUGUAUUAUCUUGUUUUGUGAAGACAGCAUACAAAAUAAUCAAUCAAUCAAUGCGGUAUGUGGGGGUAACAGACAAAGCUCCAGUUGGCAUGCAUGUGCAUCUUGUGAAGCUGCACAUAUUGAGUGGUGAAAAGUGAAGGUCAAGGUAAUUCUUCAAGGUUAAAUGUUAAAUAUAUUGCUUUUGUCCGUCCGUCUGAAAACUUUAAAAUUGUGCCAUAACUUUUGAGCUCACCUGAGUGCAACAUGCUCAUGGUGAGCUUUUGUGAUUGCCUUUUGUGCGUUGUAUGUCGUCAACAUUUUGCCUUGUGAACACUCUAGAUUCCACAUUUAUUGUCUGAUCUUCAUGAAAUUUUGCAGAACAUUUGUCACAUUGAUACCUCGACUGAGUUCGAAACUGGGUCAUGCUGGGUCAAAAAUUAGGUCACUAGGUAAAAAAAACAACAAAAAACUUGUGAACACUGUACAAGUCCAAUCUUCAUGUAACUUUGUCAAAAUGUUUGUCUAAAUGAUAUUUUGGUUGAGUUAAAAAUUGGUUCCGGUCCGUUGAAAAACAUGGCCGCCAGGGGCGGGGCAGUAAAAAAAUUUCCUUAUAUGGCUAUAGAGAAACCUUGUGAACACUUUAGAAGUCAAAAUGUUUGCCUUAUCAUCAUGAAACUUAAUCAAAACAUUGGUUUUAUUUAUAUUUUGGACGAGUUCGAAAAUGGUCCAGAUCAGUGAAAAAACAUGGCCGCCAAGGGGCGGGGGAGUUUUUCUUAUAUGUCUUUAGUUAAACAUUGCUAACACUCUAGAGGCCACAUUUAUUGUCCAUUCUUCAUGAAAUUUGGUCAGAAGUUUGGUCUCAAUGAUAUCUUAGACGAGCUGAAAAUGGUUACGUUUGCUUGAAAAACAUGGCUGCCAAAGGGCGGGGCAUUUUUCCUUAUAUGGCUAUAGUAAAACGUUGUGAACACUCUAGAGGCCACAUUUAUUGUCCAAUCUUCAUGAAAUUUGGUCAGAAUAUUUGUCUCAUUAAUAUCUUGGAUGGGUUUGAAAAUUAUUAUGUUUGCUUGAAAAACAUGGCUGCCAUGGGGCGGGGCAUUUUUCCUUAUAAAAAUGGCUAUUGUAAAAUCUUGUUAACACUCUUGAGGCCACAUUUAUUUUCCGAUCUUCAUGAAACUUGGUCAGAAUAUUCAUCCCAAAAAAUAUCGUGGACAAGUUAAAAAAUGAUGCUGGUUGGUUGAAAAACAUGUCCGCCAGGGGGUGGGGCAUUUUACCUUAUAUGGCUAUAGUAAAACUUUGUUAACACUCUAGAGGCCACAUUUAUUUUCUUAUCUUCAUGAAACUUGGUCAGAAGAUUUGUCCUAAUGAUAUCUUGGAUUAGUUCAAAAAUAGUUUUGUUUGCUUAAAAAACAUGGCCACCAGGGGGCGGGGCAUUUUUCCUAAUAUGGUUAUGUAUCAUGCUUUACUAAAACAUUGUUAACACUCUGUAGGCCACAUUUAUUUUCCGAUUAUUAUGAAACUUGGUCAGAUGAUUUGUCCUAAUGAUAUCUUGGAUGAGUUCAAAAAUGGUUCUAGUUGGUGGAAAAACAUGGCCGCUAAGGGGGCGUGUCAUUUUUCCUUAUAUGGCUAAAGUAAAACCCUGUUAAAACUCUAGAAGCCAUAUUUAUUGUACGAUCAUCAUGACACUUUGUCAGAAGAUUUGUCCCAAUGAUAUUUGGACAAGUUUGAAAUUGGUU